ensembl:lncRNA
GUAAUCUGUGCCAGUGCUCUAUCACCUGCAUAGACAGGGCCGGAUGUGGAGAAGGAAUCUUACAGUUCAUAAACAAGAUCAUAAAAGAACAACUUGCUUUGUUACCACUUCUACUGAGGCUGUGAAACACGAGUUACUGCAAAUACUACACUGCAGCUUGUGUCCAUGAGGCUCAGGAGAAUGAGAUGCUGUGCUGCAAACAACUCAGAAGCAGGAAAGGAGAAGAAGGAGGGGAGAAAAUGAGCUGCCUCAGUAAUAUACCUCCUCUGACAAAGCUGAAAGUGCCUGGCUAUUUCUCAGCAAAUGAAAAAAAGUCUAAAGGAAUGAGGACUUGUGUGGCCUCCCCCAACCAAAAAAAUAAAAAAAGAGGAAAUUAGACUGUAAACUAUUCCUGAGGUGGAAGAAACACCAACAUGAAUUCUUGACAGAAAAAAAAAGUCCUUGUGCUGCUCCUCUGCCCCAUUUUGCAACUGUGCUAUCCUGGCAAAGACUUUUGGAUUAAAUCUACAGAUUACACUGGACCUGACUUCACUCAGAGACUGAAAUACGUGCCGCUCUCUUGAUGAGCAGAUACAUUACAUUCAAUCUAUCUAGCAGUUUUUGUCCUGCACAAGCCAAAUCUCCUUUCAACAUCAAUAUUAUUUAUUAGCUCAUGAGCUUUCCUCAUCACCAGGAGAUCUGAGAGCCUCUACAGACACUAGUGAGCCUAUUCUCAUACUGGGUGAGAGAGUGCUGGGGAAGUCAGAAGGAACCUGAAAUUUCAUGGAUGCCCAGUAACAGAUGUCUAGAACCUGUAUUCAAAUUUGCACAAGGGAAUAAGAUAGAGUGCUAGCCUGGAGCAAAAGUCACUUCUCCAUACCAGUUCUGCAGGAUUCUACAUACCAGGUUCAGCUGAUCCUGCUGGAAUUCCUUGCUGAGCCAAAUUUUGGCUCCUACAGACCAUCUGUGCACUGCAAAGACCCUGGCUCCUUGCCUGUCUGCUACAUUGCCUCCCAAAGUACUCACAAACCAUGCAGCAGUCAUAAGAAUGGCUGAAUCAAAUGACCAUGAGACAGCUGUGUCCAAAUUUCUAUGUGGUAUUUAUAUAGUGAAUACAAAUGAGAAAUCUGAUUUGAAGGUGUGGAGAGCUCUGCUCCACUUAUGCAUGAAAGUCUCUUAUGAAAGUGUAUGCAAAAUUCAGAUGUGUGCCACUGGUUUUGGAGCUACAGAACAUGCAAUUUCCACCCCCGUGAUAAAUAUUCAUACCACUUAAUUGCACACAGAUAAUGACAUCUCCAAGUAUUGCUGCAGCAUCAUGUCUGCUUUCAUUUCUUAGUUGUUUCCUCAGAGGAUCAGUUCUGCUCUGCUUAGGACCAGAACCUGAGAGCAUUCCCAUGGGGUUGUGCUGACAACACAGACAGUGGGGUAGUCACAAGUCUCUGGAAUAAGCUUUGCAUUAAGGUUCUUUAUCCUACAAAACAACCAAAAAGCAGUUGAGGUAGUACAGAGUUCACAGAGGCUAGUUUAUCAGGCUCCUAAGCAGACUAGCCAUGCAUCUAUAGCCUGUUUGUAUGACUCUAUCCACAAGUGCAGACUUAGCUUGCAAGGUCACAGAGAAUUCAGAAGUACAGGAACAGCAAAAGAGUAUGAAAAUUACAAAUAUAUUGUCAUGCUUAACAGGUUACAGUUGCUUUCAAACAGAAGGUAUCUCAAAGUUACCCACACCUUUUGCAAAUAAGCUCUUAAGGUGAAGUUUCAUUCAUUUCCAGUGAGGCUAGGGAGAGUAGACCAGUGUAACACUAGUGUGUGCAGGAGGGUCUUUCUAGGGCCUCACAGAUUUUAUCUAUAUUGGCAAGUAAUUCUGUGCAAUAGGAAGAGAUCAAUAAAUCAAAGCUUCCCCUUGUUCCUAGUUUAAUACAUUGCAAACCAAAUCCAAGUACAAGAAAGGAGCAACCAGGAGAUCUGUGCAGCAAUACAUUGCUGUUCCAAGCCAAGCUGUUGAUAUCAGCAUGGCCACACUUACUCUUACAGAGGACCUUAGAAAAUUAGAUCUUCAAAGUUUUACCUUAAAGGAGAUGAUAUGGAAAAGUCAUUCUUACCACUGACAAACCUAAACAUAAAACUCUGCUUUUCCACACAUCUUUCCCUUGCAGGUUUCAGUUCUGUCAGAGCACACAGCAUGUCAGACAAUUUUUGUUGUUAUUGUUGUUAAUCAUAUAAUACAGUCAGCUUUGUGGCAGGUAAAUGAAAUUUAGGCAUCUUUCUAUCUCCCCGUCAGUAUUUGGCCAUAAGAUUCUACAUUAAAUUGUUCUUUGCUCCAAAGCUCGCCCAGAGCAACAGCACUCCAAGACUUCACUCAGCUCUUUGUUUUACAGCAGUUACAAUCAAACUGUUGUUCUUCGUGCUUUAAUGGAGAUCCUAGAAAAGGAGAUUUGAAAAAGAGGGUUAAGAACAGGUUUAUAAAACUUAAGUAUGUACCUAAUCUGUCUGGGAAAAUUCAUAAUUCACUUUGCACAUUUUUGAAGCUGUCUCCAGCCUUAAUAUCACAACAUCAUGCAAAGUCUGGAAGUAUGUGAUUAAUAGAUUUACCUAAUUAAAAACAAGCAAACAAAACAACAAACAAAAGUAAGUUUAUGUCUAAAACUGUCUGUUGGUGUGCCAAAUAUAUGCACAAAUAUAUACUGUAUUUUGUGUGUAUUUGUACAUUUAUAUGAAAACACACAUACAUAUAUAGAACUAUGUGUACAAUAAUUAAUAAAGCAAUGUUUCUUA